UCUUCGGAUGGGUAAGGCCCCCAGCUAGACGACUGGGUUGAUAGGCCGGAAAUGUAAGCCCGGUAACGGGUUCAGUUGACCGGUACUAAUAGGCCGAGGACUUGACAA
rnacentral:rRNA from 1 species